UAAAAAUGUAAAGAAAGGGAUUCAAGCUA
rnacentral:piRNA from 1 species